rnacentral:lncRNA from 1 species
UCUCCCUUCUCCAUGCCUCCUUUCCUCCCUCUCUUCUCUUCCAUGCCCAAGGAUUGGGCAUCCCAUACGCCAAUAGUAGAGGUGCUUUUCCAUCUACAGCAAAAAAUAAGAAGAAGAAGAAAAAGGCUACAGAUCAAGAAGUUGAUCUCACAGUUUAGAUCAAGGAGUUGAUCGAAGUUUCAAGGCUAAGAUUCUACUUAAAGAAGAAGAACUACUAUAAGAAGAUCAGUUCGAGUUGAUCCUGAUGGAUAUCUGUAGAGACUGGAUAUGUGUGCGGCUCGAGGAUCUACGAAUCCGUGAUCAUCGAUAGCGGUGAAUAUCUAUCCGUGCUAAGGUAUCGAGAUGCGAUCUCAUACUUAUUUUUAAAUUUCAGAUUAUAUAUUUGUUUUUCUUCUGGACUUGGGUAGGAUUAGAUUUUAUCUUAAGCAUAUGGAGCUAAAGGGUUUAACCCAUUUAUUUUUUCACUGCGUUUAAAAGAGUUUUGAAAUAUACACAUGCUACC